UUAAAAAAUCCCAAGUAUUGACUAGGCAUUUGUCAUUUAAAAUAUGAAAUAGCGGGGCCGGCCGUGUGGCCAAGUGGUUAGGGUCGCGUGCUCUGCUUCGGUGGCCCAGGGUUUCACUGGUUUGGAUCCUGGGCGCAGACAUGGCGCCACUCAUCAAGCUAUGCUGAGGCAGCGUCCCACAUGCCACAGCUAGAAGGACCUACAACUAAAAUAUACAACUAUGUAUGGGGGGGCUUUGGGAGAAAAAGGAAAAAUUUAAAAAAAAAAAAGAACUAUUGUUAUUAACUUUUCCAAGACACAAAUUUCCUGAGCAAUAUCUAAUCUGUUGUUAAACCCUCACAAUGAUCACGUAGCACCAUGACAAAAACAAAGUAGACAUUAAAUAAAUAUUAGUUGGAUACUUGAUGAAUUACUAACGUAGUAAAUCUAAUUAUUCCCAAUAUACAUCUGAAAAAAAGUAUUUUGCACUAAUAUAACACUUUCUCUCCUAAGGAUGCAGAAGUCAAGUGGAUUGAUCAUUAUUAAAUUUAUUUAAAUAAUGAGGAAAUUGAGAUAUCUAAAGUUAGGGCCAUGGCCAAGAACGCAGUGCACAUCAAUGGAAAAAUCUAGAAAUACAGAUGAUGAUUAGCCAUGUCCAUGCUCAGAGGAGACGAAAGGAGGCUGUUAGUGCCGUCUUUAUGACAAAAGACAACAGUCCAGGCUGACUCCUCCCAUGCCACAAAACUGCUAUAAACUCCCAAAUUGGCAAGUGUUGGCUUAUAGAUGGCACCAACCCCAGGAACGAUGAGGUCAGCUCCUGGGAUGGAAAAACAGCUUCUGGAUUCCACAUAUUGGCGAGAUCAUACGGUAUUUGUCUUCCUCUGCUGACCUACUUCGCUUAGCACAAUGCCUGUGAGGUCUAUCCAUAUGGUUGCAAAUGGCCAUCAAAAUCCACUUUACCUGAAAUAUUUUUUCUUGUUGUUUGGACCCGGGCUGGUGAGCUAAGUCUUCCUUCUUGCUGCCUCUUGGAGGAGAAGUGCAGAAAAAGAGAGAUGAGAGACAGGCGACUGGACAGAGAGAUACCAAGACAAGAAAGGGAAGGGGCGGCUCUCCAGAUGCUCUAAAACCA
rnacentral:lncRNA from 1 species